UACGGGGGGGGCAAGCGUUGUUCGGAAUUACUGGGCGUAAAGAGCGCGCAGGCGGUCGUACAAGUCGCGUGUGAAAGCCCCCGGCUCAACUGGGGAGGGUCACGCGAUACUGUUCGACUCGAAGGCAGGAGAGGGAAGUGGAAUUCCCGGUGUAGUGGUGAAAUGCGUAGAUAUCGGGAGGAACACCAGUGGCGAAGGCGGCGAUCUGGGUUGAUACUGACGCUGAGGUGCGAAAGCGUGGGGAGCAAACAGG
rnacentral:rRNA from 1 species